rnacentral:rRNA from 1 species
GACGAACGCUGGCGGCGUGCUUAACACAUGCAAGUCGAACGGAAAGGCCCUGCUUUUGUGGGGUGCUCGAGUGGCGAACGGGUGAGUAACACGUGAGUAACCUGCCCUUGACUUUGGGAUAACUUCAGGAAACUGGGGCUAAUACCGGAUAGGAGCUCCUGCUGCAUGGUGGGGGUUGGAAAGUUUCGGCGGCUGGGGAUGGACUCGCGGCUUAUCAGCUUGUUGGUGGGGUAGUGGCUUACCAAGGCUUUGACGGGUAGCCGGCCUGAGAGGGUGACCGGCCACAUUGGGACUGAGAUACGGCCCAGACUCCUACGGGAGGCAGCAGUGGGGAAUAUUGCACAAUGGGCGGAAGCCUGAUGCAGCAACGCCGCGUGCGGGAUGACGGCCUUCGGGUUGUAAACCGCUUUCGCAUGUGACGAAGCGUGAGUGACGGUAAUGGGUAAAGAAGCACCGGCUAACUACGUG